AUUGAACGCUGGCGGCAGGCCUAACACAUGCAAGUCGAGCGGAGCGCCAGACGCGUGAGUAAUGCCUAGGAAUCUGCCUGUUCGUGGGGGAUAACGUCCGGUAACGGGCGCUAAUACCGAUAACUAUCACUUGAGCCUAGGUCGGUUUUGCUAGUGGGUGGGGUAAAGGCCUACCAAGGCGACGAUCCGUAUCUGGUCUGAGAGGAUGGUCAGUCACACUGGAACUGAGACACGGUCCAGACUCCUACGGGAGGCAGCAGUGGGGAAUAUUGGACAAUGGGCGAAAGCCUGAUCCAGCCAUGCCGCGUGUGUGAAGAAGGUCUUCGGAUUGUAAAGCACUUUAAGUUGGGAGGCGUUACCAACAGAAUAAGCACCGGCUAACUUCGUGCCAGCAGCCGCGGUAAUUC
rnacentral:rRNA from 1 species